rnacentral:rRNA from 1 species
AACGAACGCUGGCGGCGUGCCUAACACAUGCAAGUCGUGCGAGAACGGGGGGGCAACUCCUUAGUAAAGCGGCGCACGGGUGAGUAACACGUAGGUAACCUACCUCCGAGCCCGGGAUAACCUGCCGAAAGGUGGGCUAAUACCGGAUAUGACCACGGGAACCUCGGUUCCUGAGGUGAAAGGUGGCCUCUAUUUAUAAGCUACCACUUGAAGAUGGGCCUGCGUGCCAUUAGCUAGUUGGCGGGGGAAUGGCCCACCAAGGCUUUGAUGGCUAGCUGGUCUGAGAGGAUGCCCAGGCACACUGGGACUGGAACACGGCCCAGACUCCUACGGGAGGCAGCAGUGGGGGAUAUUGCGCAAUGGGCGAAAGCCUGACGCAGCGACGCCGCGUGGGUGGUGAAGGCCUUCGGGUCGUAAAGCCCUGUCGGGGGGGACGAAACGGGUCAGACCUAACACGUCGGGCCCCUGACGGUACCCCUAAAGGAAGCACCGGCUAACUCCGUGCCAGCAGCCGCCGUAAAAC